UUUAUGGAGAGUUUGAUCCUGGCUCAGGAUGAACGCUGGCGGCGUGCCUAAUACAUGCAAGUCGAGCGAACGGACGAGAAGCUUGCUUCUCUGAUGUUAGCGGCGGACGGGGGAGGAACACGUGGA
rnacentral:rRNA from 1 species